ensembl:lncRNA
CAGGGUUUUAGAUUUAUGGUAUUCUUAAACACUUGCCUACUUGUACUAGUGAAAGGAUAUUAUAUAAGGGUUUCUGUUAAAUCCUGUAAUUGUACAUGGAAAUAUGUUUUAUACAUUUUGUAUAAUCCUAUGUGUACAUAUAUCAAGCCAGGUUUAUGCUUAUUUGCAGAACAGUGGAGGACAAUUAUUUAAAAACAACUAGCUACAAAAGUAUGUUAAUCCAGUUCGGUGUUAUUAGUAUAGCACUUUUAACUAUAGCUUUACAGCAUCUUUACAGAAAUCCAGAUGUAAAAUUAGCUCCCUAAUGAGCAAGCCAGAAGCGACAGUGGAAAGAAAUCUCUUGCUGAGACAACAUGAGGAGCCAGUACAGAUCCCAUCUUCUUCUAGGUCACACUGGAUAGCGUGUGUUGUAAAUCAUUACAGUAUACAGAAUAAAGACAAACAGUAUUCAGUAUGUUAAAAGAAUGCUCAGUAUGAGCAUUUUUUGAAUAAGAGACCGGUGAAAGGCACCAGAAUGUAGUUAAUUUGUAAAGCUGCACCAGAAUACCUAAAAUGAGGAUGGACUGCCCUCUAUUGGUAAAAAAAAGAGUAGUUCCACAAAUCAGAGCAAACAGUUUAUACAGGAUCCUGAGCUGCAGCUCUGGGUCUGCUUAGCUGCUAUAUUAUCGUGCUCAUGGAUUGUUUAAGCUUGUGGAUGACAUUUAUAAUUAUUAUUUUUAAAUUCAUAUACUAGGAUGUGCUUGGGGGGUAAGUGGUUAGCACCUCACACCUCCAGGUUUGGGAGCUCGAUUCGUGCCUCCACUCUGUGUGCACGGAGCUUGCAUGUUCUCCCUGUGCCAUGUGUCAUAGGCUGAUUGGCAUCCAAAAAAAAAUGUCUGUAGUGUGUGAAUGGGUGUGUGAAUGGGCCCUGCAAUGUGUUGGCAGCCUGUCCAAUAUGUCCCCUGCCUCGUGCCCCAAGUCCCCUGAGAUAGGCUCCAGGCUCCCUGCGACAUAUCUUUGAACAUAAGGCAUAUCUACCAAGGUCAGGCCAGGGUUGCAGAUCUGGAGCCUACCCCAGGAACUCUGGGAGCAAGAUGUAAAUAAACGCUGGAUGGUAUACAAAUCCAUGCGCACAGACAUUCACAACUACUAGCCAGUCCACCUACCAGUAUGUUUUCUUGGGGGGAGAUGGAAGGAAACCCACACACACACACAAAAUCAGACCCAAGUUCAGGAUCGAACCUGAACCCUAGAGCUGCGAAGCAGCAAUACUACUCUCUGCAUGACCACCAUAUCUAGCAUAUGUUGAUUUAGAUAACUGUCGAAGCACUGUAACUUUUUUACCCAAAUUCAACAAAAAUCAACAUGUACUAUAGAGCAACUUAAAAGCCAGUAAACCAAUGUAAUUAUGUGGCCAUUUUUUUGGAACAGAUCAGAUGGACUGGAAACGCAACUCUGUCUUAUACACAGUGCCACUCUGAAAAACUGGCUGCAAAUGAAAACAAAACAAAAAAAAGGCUCCUUUCCAAAAGCAUCUUUCGAGGGUUGAGUUCAUGCAUAAACACCAAAGCUCCUGUUCUGAAACCAUCCUCAGCCUGCAAAUAUCAUCGAGUUGCUUGCAUCAGUGCACCGGGGUAGGUUGUUUGAUUUCAAUUUCCUUUGCUUGAUAUUUGUGGAUGUAAAAACAGUAGCAUGAAGAUAUCUGAAGGAGGUGACUGUGCUAAUCCUGUACUCAGAGCCUCUUUAAAACCAUUCUAUGCCUCUAGGGUCCUAAAAAGACUUCAGUUUUUAUUAAUUAUAUUUAUGAACUUUGCGAUGUUUCUCUUCCAGUUAAUUAUCAUUUUACUUGAAAUACACAGCCAGAUUUAGAUAUUUAUAUAGUAGAAUAAGUAGUAUAAAUAUACAAAUUUUCUUUUUACUAGAAACACAUAGUGCAGAUUAAGUGUGUUCUUUCCACUGUCCUUAUUUGCACUCCCUUUAUAAAAAUCUGGGCAUGCUACACUAUAAUAGCCAGAAAACCACAACUUGUCCCGAGCUCAAUGUCUCCGGAGCCAGUACCAUUGAGUAUGUGCUUGUAAAUCUGCACUGUCAGAUCACAGAGAGACAUUUGAUGUUUGUAAUCACUGAUGCGCAAAAACAUGUAGAUAGGCCACUUUAUCAAGUGUAGUCAUUAGGGAGUCUGUGAGACUGUCACAGCGCGCACCCGUCAUAUCUUUUGUUCCUUUGAGAACAUGCUCAUUAUAAACAAUACAAUUCAAGUCAAAACUGAGUACAGCAUUCCAUUUGUUCCAUAACAUACAGAUGAAAUUAAACACUCGGUGUGUGUUCCUCAGUGCUCAAAUUGUCAGAUAGAGUGUACAGAAAGCAGGCGAGUUAAUUGUUUCCUCUGAAACUGCCACAGGUCUGAUCUCUCAUUUGACAAAGAGCUACAGCGGAGAGACCCGUAGAUUAACAUCUAUUAGGACACAAUGUGAAUUCAGCAAAAGGAGACUCAGCACAUAUCUAUCAUCUCAUAAAUGGUUAAUGAUAUCUAAAAGCUAAUACGUCUCACUAGGAUUUCUCUGGUCUUAAGAGUCUAACCAUCAUGCACUCUGGCCUGACCCCUGCUCAGAUAGCCAGGUCAUGAAGAGACACUGAAAUGGAGGUGUGGGGGUGUGGAUCUGUACAGUAAAUCACUUACCAUAAAACAAUUUGUUUAAGAGAGGGGGAGAAUAAAGUACUUUUAUUUAUAGCCAAAUGGAGUAUGGAGGCAAUAAUCCUAUGCGCAUCAAUGGGUAAGAGCGAGAGAGAGAGAGAGAGAGAGAGAGAGAGAGAGAGAGAGAGAGAGAUUAAGAGCUAAGCAGUUAUAUGUUCUUAAAACCAUUUUGCGAUAAACAAUAUAUCUACAUCUACAAUAUAUCUACACAAUAUAUCUACAUAUAUCUAAAAUAUAUUCAUAUAUUGUGUAUAUACUGCAUUUAUAUGUAUCAGGGUACUCAAAUUACACAGUCUUUUUUAAUCUGCUUGCCAGGGCAGUGUAAAAGCUGUCUACCCUCUUCUGCAUACAUAAGCUCACAGACACCCAUGAUUGGCUAGUGUCACUGUAAUUGACAGGGGAGAGAGUAUGCAAUCUCACACACACACAGAACAUGGUCAUUUUUGCUGCCAUGGUUCAUGGAUGGCCGUGGCAUCAAACGUGCAAUUUCCCAUUGAUUGGGGAGCACUUUUCUGUGGCGCCACUCGGGAGUCCAAUAUUUACACAAAUUAUUCAAGGAAAAUUAACACACUCACUAUCUACUGAGAUGGUGACAAUGCGUAACUAUAUAACAAUGAAGUCAGUGUUCUAAAAGUAUUUCGGAUGCACCGUAAAAGUAUAGUGACAUAAUUUAUCAAAAUAUUAUACGUUUUUAAUUUUAGGGAACAUUAGAACAGUACAGGAAAACAGGAAAACAACUACGCUUUUAGACAAAACUUCACACGAAUAUUACAUCCUGUCUAUCAACGAUGCUAAACAGAGAGAUUUAUUCAACAUAGACCGAGUAAACACAACCGGACCAAGCGUUUUUGCUCCCAUAGAUUAAAGGAAUACUCUGGCGUUUUCUCUAUCCCCUGUGACCAUCACAGACAAUAAUUUUGACAUGGCCCCGUACUGAGAAAAGAAAAACAAAAAAAAACAAAAAAACAAACAAAAAAAAACCUAUAAUGACAUGACUUCAACAGCCAUUACACUUUAAUAAUGAAAUGUUUAGGAUGAGAGAAACGUCUUACUAAAGCCUUGCUGUAGUUUUAUCCAACUUUUGAACACUUACAGGUAAUUCUGUCUGAUCUCAAAAAGAAUGAACUAUACUGAUUUUAAGAUUACUUUACAAAUAUCUUUGACUUAAGCAGUCAUUAAUACAUUCUACAAACAAGUGCCCUUAGACAUCAAGUAUACGUAUCAUUUGAAUAAACUGGUUUUCUGUUCAUUUCUCGGGCCAGGGAAAUGUGUCAUAAUUUGUGUCUGUGGUACUCAGUGGUCCAGAUGUAAUAGACUGAGAUUAGGUUGAAAGAGUAUUGAAUAAUCCUUUAAAGACCUGCACCUAUAACCAAAAGAAUAUGGUUCAAUUCAGACAAGCAUCUGCGGUUGUAGGAAUUGAUCCUGCAGCCAGAAGGGGAACUAAUGUUACAGUCCUGUCUUAACACGACUGGGCUCUUGGACCAUCUCCUCAGCCCCGGGAUAUUAAAUAUGCUGAUGCUGUUCUCUGGCCCUGUGCAUCUUUCCUUGUGAAAAAGGAAAAGCAUUGGAGUAUGCAAAGUCAAGUCUUUUGCAGCAAUACACUUGCCUACGGAUUUUGCAGGUCAGUAAAUUGAUGCUACUAGAAUUUAAUUAAAUAUUGAUUCUUUAUAUAAGAAACAAAACAAUAUGGGGUGCACUUUUUCCAUUUAUAGUUAUGUUUAAUGUUGUGGAACAUCUCCUGUUAUCACUUAUUAUAUAGCAGGUACUGUAUAAACAGUCAUUCCCUUACAAACCUCUCUUUCCUCUAAUAAAAGACAACAAAACAUAACAAAAAUCACAAAUUGUCAUGCUACAGAGAAACUGCAAAGCCCUCUAUCCUAAAGACGUUCUCAAUGAGGAAAACCUAAAGGAACAGCUUUACCUAGGACAGAAAGCGUUGACAUUAGAGACUACUUCCACAUAUGCCAAAUAAACAUCACACAACGGUCAUAGCACACUGUGUAAGCUGUUACUAUAAAAAAAUAUAUAACAUAUACCCAGAGCAAUGUACAUUUAUCUCAUUUAUACAGUGUAUUUGAGCAGUUGAGGGUUAAGGGCCUUGCUCAGGAACCCACUGGUGGCAGUUUGGUGGUGCUGGGAUUUGAGCUCAUGAUCUUUUGAUUAAUAGGCCAAUGGCUUAACCACUGACCGACCACUGCCCCAUAGUAACAUGCUACCACUACUGUCAGAGCUGCUGUCAUUGAUCAACACAUUCUGACUAAGCAGAUUUGAGAAUUUAACAGCACUCUGGUAUAAACGAUAACAGUGAUGUACAAUGCACAAAUUUUAAUACAUAAUGUCAGUGAGGGUUAUUGUGAAUGUAAUUUCUGUAAACAUCAUCAUAUACAAAUGCAUCCUAUAGCUGAAAUACACUGUACAUACAGCCGGCAAACAGAACACAUAUUUAUUUAUAAUUAUUACCUGCAGUGUGUAAGCCUCAAGACACUGUCAUCAAGUUUACCAGCAAUCACCCAAAUAUUUUCCCUUGCCGUCAUGAAAUAUUAAUAGGACCUAAACUAUUUAUAUUGAGAGCAUUAAUAAUAAAUGACAGAGCUUUAAAAUUUGUGCUUCAAAUCAGAAGGCAUUUAUUUGAUCCAUUUCUGUUGAGUCAAAGAUAGACUACCUAACUACUAUUAAUGACUAUAUCUACUAUUAAUUACAUGCAGAUAAAUGGCACCUGUCAAGGGGUGGGAUAUAUUAGGCAGCAAGUAAAUAGUCAGUUCUCAAAGUUGAUGUGUUGGGAGUAGGAAAAAUGGGCAUGGGUAAGAAUGUGUGCGAUUUUGACAAGGGCCAAAUUGUGAUGGCUAGAUGACUGAGUCAGAGCAUCUCAGAACCGGGGUGUUCCCAGUAUACAGUAGUUAGUACCUACUAAAAUCAGUCCAAGGAAGGACACCCGGUGAACCGGCGACAAUGUCAUGGGUGCCCAAAGCUCAUUGAUGUAUGUGGGAAGUGAAGGCUAGCCCAUCUGGUCUGAUCCCACUGUAUCACAAAUUGUUGAAGAAGGUAAUGUUGGUUAUGAUAGAAAGGUGUCAGAACACACAGUGCAAUUCUGCUUGCUGCUUAUCGGGCUACGUAGCCACAGACCAAUCAGAUUGCAGACCCCUGUCCACCACUGAAAGCACCUAAUGGAAUGGUAUGAGGAACAUGACAAAGAGUUCAAGGUGUUGACUUUGCCUCCAAAUUCCCCAGUCCUCAGUAUGAUCGAACAUCUGUGGGAUGUGCUGGACAAACAAGUUCGAUCCAUGGAGGCCUCACCUCACAACUUACAAGACUUAAAGGAUCUCCUGCUAACAUCUUGCUGACAAAUACCACAGCAAACCUUCAGAAGUCUUGUGGAGUCCAUGCCUUCACAGAUCAGAGCUGUUUCGGUGACACUUGGUGUACACAAUAUUAGGCAGGUGGUUUUAAUGUCAUGGCUGAUUAAUCUUUGUGUGUGUGUUUUACAUGUAGGACAAAUGAAAAAACAUGCUCCUUUCUACCCUGAAGAGGUCCAGGCAAUGGCAAAGUGACAGGAGUGAUUGGUUUAUGUCUGGGAUAUCAGGUGUGAUUACCAGCAGGAUGAAACUGAAUCAGCAGUGAUGCUCUUGGGAUCUUCAGGCAAAGAUGUGCAAUCAAAAUGUUUACCUGUACUGACAUUUUGUUUUAUCGACAUUAUCUCUGGAAAUUUGCAGCCGUCUAGCUAAAUUUGAACUGUUUCCCUGCAGUAAUCUCUACAGUAUCUCUUCUUGUCCAUCUAUUCCUGGAGACAGCAACAAAUACAAUGAGCAAACUGAUGUUUGUAUGGGAAAUAGUUCCUUUAUAACCUUAUACUAUAUGUCUACUGAAGGAAUUAAAAGACCAAAAUAAAGUCAGUUAUUUAUGCAACACCGUUUUGCAAUUAUCAAAAAAGAGCUUGUUUUUUUUUUCUUUUUUUUUUCUUUUUUAAAAACCCCUCUAGCUAGCAUUAAGCAUAAACCAUGUAUAUUACGUUACAAAUGGAAACAUUAGCAGUGGGAUGGUGAAGAAGUGGUGAGCAUGCUGCCUUACAGCUUCAGGGUCCACAGUUUGAUCCUGAGCUCAGUUUUCUGUCCAUGUGGAGUUCCCUAACCCUUCCCACACUAAAUUCACUAGAUAAACUAAAUUUCCCCUAGGUGUGAAACAGUGUGUAUGGUGUAUGGCUCUGUAACGGCCCAGCAUCCCAUCCAGGGUGUAUUCCCACCUCACACCCAGUGUUUAUGGUAUAGGCCCCAGAUUGUGACCCUAAACAGGAUGAAGUGCUUACUGAAAACGAAUGAAUGAAUUUAAACAUCAUGCUGCAUCAUUAAACAUCAUGUUGCUUGUUUACAUGUUGUAUCAAAUCAUAUGUGAAAUAAAAACUGAGAAAAAAGGAUUAUAAUUUAGAGGUCAAUGUGAACCAUUUUGACUGCGACUUCAGGUCAUUUUGGUAAAUGCUUUUUAAAUGUAGAAUUUGACAUGGUGAUUUCCUAGUCAAAGGUCAUGUUGUCUCCAUAUUCCAUUGAGUACACUGUUAUACAGCAUUAGACAUUGAUUGAAUAUGGUUAUCUACUGCUGCCUGCUACCUGCUGUUUAACCCAUCUUUUGUAGUUUUAAGAAGUUUACAACCCCAAUUCCAAA